rnacentral:sRNA from 1 species
GGCUGGUCCGAGUGAAGCUUACGACUAAUUAAUCACAUCCAGUUACACGUUCCUUUGUUCCUUCUCCUUUGAUCUUUAAGAGGUUAACCUUCA